rnacentral:rRNA from 16 species
AAACCGACACAGGUGGUCAGGUCGAGUAGACCAAAGCGCUUGAGAGAACUCUGCUGAAGGAACUAGGCAAAAUGGUACCGUAACUUCGGGAGAAGGUACGCUGUUGACGGUGAUGGGACUUGCUCCCUAAGCUAUUGACAGUCGCAGAGACCAGGUGGCUGGAACUGUUUAUUAAAAACACAGCACUGUGCAAAAUCGAAAGAUGACGUAUACGGUGUGACGCCUGCCCGGUGCCGGAAGGUUAAUUGAUCUGCUUAGCGCAA